rnacentral:rRNA from 1 species
UGUCGUCAGCUCGUGUUGUGAAAUGUUGGGUUAAGUCCCGCAACGAGCGCAACCCUUAUCCUUUGUUGCCAGCGGUCCGGCCGGGAACUCAAAGGAGACUGCCAGUGAUAAACUGGAGGAAGGUGGGGAUGACGUCAAGUCAUCAUGGCCCUUACGACCAGGGCUACACACGUGCUACAAUGGCGCAUACAAAGAGAAGCGACCUCGCGAGAGCAAGCGGACCUCAUAAAGUGCGUCGUAGUCCGGAUUGGAGUCUGCAACUCGACUCCAUGAAGUCGGAAUCGCUAGUAAUCGUGGAUCAGAAUGCCACGGUGAAUACGUUCCCGGGCCUUGUACACACCGCCCGUCACACCAUGGGAGUGGGUUGCAAAAGAAGUAGGUAGCUUAACCUUCGG